rnacentral:rRNA from 1 species
UACGGAGGGUGCAAACGUUGCUCGGAAUCAUUGGGCGUAAAGCGCACGUAGGCGGCCGAUCAAGUCGGGUGUGAAAGCCCUGGGCUCAACCCAGGAAGUGCACUCGAAACUGACCGGCUUGAAUAUGGAAGAGGGUCGCGGAAUUCCCGGUGUAGAGGUGAAAUUCGUAGAUAUCGGGAGGAACACCAGUGGCGAAGGCGGCGACCUGGGCCAAUACUGACGCUGAGGUGCGAAAGCGUGGGGAGCAAACAGG